AUGAAUUGACGGGGGCCCGCACAAGCGGUGGAGCAUGUGGUUUAAUUCGAUGCAACGCGAAGAACCUUACCUACUCUUGACAUCCAGAGAAUCUAGCGGAGACGCUGGAGUGCCUUCGGGAACUCUGAGACAGGUGCUGCAUGGCUGUCGUCAGCUCGUGUUGUGAAAUGUUGGGUUAAGUCCCGCAACGAGCGCAACCC
rnacentral:rRNA from 1 species